UACGGAGGAUGCAAGCGUUAUCCGGAUUUAUUGGGUUUAAAGGGUGCGUAGGCGGAUUAUUAAGUCAGUGGUGAAAGCUUGCGGCUCAACCGUAUGAUUGCCAUUGAAACUGAUAGUCUUGAGUGUAGUUGAGGUAUGUGGAAUGUGUAAUGUAGCGGUGAAAUGCAUAGAUAUUACACAGAACACCGAUUGCGAAGGCAGCAUACCAAGCUAUAACUGACGCUGAUGCACGAAAGCGUGGGUAUCGAACAGG
rnacentral:rRNA from 1 species